rnacentral:rRNA from 1 species
UUAGGUUGAUCUUGCUAGACGACGCUACGUUGGCUUAGGCAUGCAGUCGACCGGAAACCCUUCGGGUGAGUAAAGUGCGAACGGGUGAGUAACACGUGGGCAACCUGCCCCUCGCAGGGGGACAACCCGGAGGAAACUCCGGCUAAUACCCCGUAAGCUCUACAGGCCGCAUGGCGAGUAGAGGAAAGGUAGCUUAGGCCAUCCGGCGAGGGAUGGGCCCGCGGUGCAUUAGCUAGUUGUGGGGUAACGGCCCACCCAGGCGACGAUGCGUAGCUGGUCUGAGAGGAUGAUCAGCCACACUGGGACUGAGACACGGCCCAGACUCCUACGGGAGGCAGCAGCCAGGAAUCUUGGGCAAUGGGCGAAAGCCUGACCCAGCAACACCGUGUGGGUGAUGAAGGCCUCCGGGUCGUAAAGCCCUGUUGAUAGGGACGAAGGGCGAAGGGUUAAUAGCCCCUAGCUUGACGGUACCUUUCGAGGAAGCCCCGGCUAACUACGUGCCAGCAGCCGCGGUAAUACGUAGGGGGCGAGCGUUGUCCGGAAUUAUUGGGCGUAAAGAGCGUGUAGGCGGUUCGGUAAGUCUGUCGUGAAAUCCUGGGGCUCAACCCCGGGCGUGCGAUGGAUACUGCCGGGCUAGAGGGUGGUAGAGGCGAGUGGAAUUCCCGGUGUAGCGGUGAAAUGCGCAGAUAUCGGGAGGAACACCAGUAGCGAAGGCGGCUCGCUGGGCCACACCUGACGCUGAGACGCGAAAGCUAGGGGAGCGAACAGGAUUAGAUACCCUGGUAGUC